AAAACAGGUUUCUGCAACACUCCUGCAGAUUGUGGUCUCCACUGCACUCAUUUGUACACAAGUCAGCUGGGAUACAGAGAAAAGCAAAUUUCAAGGCGAGGUGUUCCUGCAGAGCUGUCUGCUACAUAUCCUGCACACAGCUUAAACUGGGGGGAGGUACUAUCUGAACCCCUGUAUACAGUCUGGGCAUUUUGGACACCACCACCACUGGACAGAUCCAGAGGAGGACCUGAAUUUCCACAGAAGACCAGACCUUCCACAGGACCACCACUUUCAACUGCAGCCACCAUUUCAACAGGACUGCAAUCACUAUUUGAUAGGCCUGUGGCUUCCACCCUGACCAGCCUGGCCAGGUUGUGUUCUGACUUUGUGAGUUUAAGCCAGUUUUUCUGUAUCAUUGCAUUUAUUGUAAUCUUUCUAUUAGAUUGUAACUCCUGAAAUGUCUCUCAAGGUAUUUGUGUGGGGUUCUUUCCUCCCACUGGUUUACUUUUGAACUGGCACAGUCUUUUCACUUCGUAGUGACAGUGUAGAAGAAGGAUUUUUUCUUGAUCUUUUACGAAUUUGGCAGGCCAUUAUUACAGCCUAGAAAAUUCUGCGUCAUACCAGCCUGACUCCUGAGUGGAGGUGGAGUCUCAGGAACUGGAAAGGGACAGUAAAGAAGACCUAAGCUUUCUCCAGAGUAGAAGCAUACGUGGUUUUAUUCUGAUGGUUUGGGAAGUGUUAGCUUGCCUCUUGCUGCUGCUGCCUAGCAGGGCUUUGUUAAUGGAAAUGGUUCCUAUUGGUUCCUUCAGUUUUCAUGUUUUAAGUAGGACAGCAGCUUGGCAGCUGGGAUUGUUAGGCAUAAUUUUUGUCUUUUAUCACAGCAGAUGAGCAAUUAUCUGCUGAAUCUAAAUGUGGGGCAGAGCUGACCUAAGCAAGGGUCUUAAACCACCAUGCAGCCAAGCUGGUGACCAGUAGAACACAGAAAAAAUAAAUAUAAAUAGAAAAAUUUGAUGAGGACUCA
rnacentral:lncRNA from 1 species